rnacentral:rRNA from 1 species
UACGUAGGGAGCUAGCGUUGUUCGGAAUCACUGGGCGUAAAGGGAGCGUAGGCGGAAAGGUAAGUUAGGAGUGAAAUCUGUUGGCUUAACCGGCAGCUUGCUUCUAAAACUGCUUUUCUUGAGUAUGGGAGAGGGUGAUGGAAUUCCAGGAGUAGCGGUGGAAUGCGUAGAUAUCUGGAAGAACACCAGUUGCGAAGGCGGUCACCUGGCCCAAUACUGACGCUGAGCCUCGAAAGCUAGGGGAGCAAACAGG